rnacentral:rRNA from 1 species
CCUACGGGAGGCAGCAGUGAGGAAUAUUGGUCAAUGGACGAGAGUCUGAACCAGCCAAGUAGCGUGAAGGAUGACUGCCCUAUGGGUUGUAAACUUCUUUUAUAAAGGAAUAAAACGAGGCACGUGUGCCUUUUUGCAUGUACUUUAUGAAUAAGGAUCGGCUAACUCCGUGCCAGCAGCCGCGGUAAUACGGAGGAUCCGAGCGUUAUCCGGAUUUAUUGGGUUUAAAGGGAGCGUAGAUGGGUUGUUAAGUCAGUUGUGAAAGUUUGCGGCUCAACCGUAAAAUUGCAAUUGAUACUGGCAGUCUUGAGUACAGUUGAGGGAGGCGGAAUUCGUGGUGUAGCAGUGAAAUGCUUAGAUAUCACGAAGAACCCCGAUUGCGAAGGCAGCUUACUAAACUGUGACUGACAUUGAUGCUCGAAAGUGUGGGUAUCAAACAGGAGUAGAUACCCUAGUAGUC